UUCUUUCAUUUAUUAAACUGGGACACGAUACUUUUAUCCAAUCUACACGAGGUACGAUCACGUGAUUUCCACCCUCGCAAGCGUGCAUCCGUUCCCUGAGCCUCUCACCGCUAAGUCCUCUCACCCUGCGUCCACCAGCAGCGGUAACCGCAGCGAACUCGCCUCGCGGGAUUCGCGAACAAUUACCGAUAUAUGACUAUAUUGUAUUAUAGAGUGCUGUUACACAGAGUGCUUAAUCGGGUUUAAUAAGUGUACAUGUGGUCUCGGGGCGAAGAAAGAAAGAGCAGAUGCGUCUAUAAGCUCUUCUAGCCGGCAGAAGUUGGCCGAACCGCCGGGCGCACACGUACGCGGCUGCUCGCUUGUGUGAGUUAUCCCCUCACCGACCACAGCGCCCUGCAAAAGUAGCGGAGUUUGCAUCACUGCUUACCGGUUGUCUGCGCCAUGUUCUCGUUCCUGGUCGUUCCUGUGUCUGCCAUGUGCCGCUUCACGAGGAUGCUUUGUUAAUCCCAGUUUUUCCGUUAAAUCGACAGGUACGUCAUAUGUAUGUAUUCAUUGAUUAAAAGUAGAUUUGGGGACAAUUAUGUCACGCAAAGAUUUCUGUGAUUUGUCUCAACGGCAAAAACGACGAAUUGUAUUGCAGGAAAGUGAUAUAUCCCUUUAUCGGUCUCAAAAGAUUAAAAAAAUCUGCACAAAGGAAAAAAAUAAUGCAAACAUUAAUAACUGUAAUUCAGAAAAUGAGAGUGCAAAUAUUAAUUGUUCUAAUUCGGAUAUGAGUUCCAUUGAAGAUAAUUUUAAUGAAGAUGAAUCAUUGUCAGAUGCAACUGAUAAUGAAUCAUUGUCAGAUGCAACUGACAAUGAUUUUCAGAGCUUAUCAUCAGAAGACGCUUUAAAUACUGAAAAAUCUUUACUUGAUGAAUUAAGAUCUUGGGUAAUUAAACACAAAAUUAGUCAGAGUGCGGUAAAUGAUAUGUUACGAAUUUUGUUAAGAAAGAAUAUAAGCGUUCCAGUCAAUUGUAGGACAUUGAUGAAAACUCCACGUGAUACAUUGUUACUAAUAAGACAAAUGGAUGACGGAAAAUACAUUCAUUUAGGAUUUGAAGAAGGUUUGAGACAUUCGAUUAAAAAAUACUUUCAACCUUUAUGUCCAGCAGAAUUGAAAAUAAAUAUAAAUAUCGAUGGCCUACCUAUUUCAAAAAGUUCUGGUAGUCAAUUUUGGCCAAUUUUAGGUGCUAUAGUUGCAGAUUUCUACACUGAACCAUUUGUUAUUGGCAUUUAUCAUGGUAAUGCAAAACCAAAAGAUGUUGAUGUUUUUCUAAAUCCAUUUGUAAAAGAAGUAAAACCCAUUCUUGAUAACGGAUUGAAUAUUAAUGAAAUAAUUAUUUGUAUUACAUUAAAUGCUAUUAUAUGCGAUGCUCCAGCUAAAUCGUUUAUUUGUGGAAUUAAAGGUCACACAGGUUAUUUUAGUUGCACAAAGUGUAUACAAGAAGGUGAAUUUAUCAACAACAAAGUCGUAUUUUUAGAACAAAAUUCAACCUUGAGGACGGAUCAUUCAUUUCAAACUAGACAGCAUGAAGAACAUCACAUUGAAAAAUAUUUAAGUCAAGCAACUUCUUUAGAAACGUUAAACAUUGGAAUGAUUUCAGCCGUGCCAUUAGAUUGCAUGCAUCUAAUUUUUCUUGGUGUUAAUAAAACAAUGCUUCGAUUUUGGAUUAAAGGUGCGAGAAAUAUACGAUUGACUUCUGUUUUAUUAGAUCAAGCCCAACAACGUAAUAAUAAAUUGAAAAUGUGCAUACCCAUUGAAUUCGCACGUCGUCCAAGAGAUUUGUUAGAUACAGAUCGGUGGAAAGCAACCGAACAUAAGCUUUUUGUACUGUAUACGGGAAUAAUUAUAAUGAAAAAAAUACUACCUAAAAAACUAUAUAUACACUUUGUCUGUCUGUGUGUUGCUGUAAGAAUUGUAUCGGAUAAACAAUAUAAGCAUCUGAUUGAUUAUGCACAAUCUGUUAUUGAAUACUUUGUUAACAAAUUCCGUCAGUAUUAUGGAGAUCAAUAUUUAUCACACAAUGUGCAUAAUUUAGUACACAUAUGUGAAGAUGUUAAACGGUUUGGAACCAUUGAUUCUUAUUCUGCCUUUAAAUUUGAAAACUACUUGUAUACAAUAAAAAGAUCGUUAAAAGUUAGUCGAAAACCUUUGGAACAGAUAGUUAACAGAAUUAUAGAAAAAAGAAAUGUUGAGGAAAGUUUUUCAAAUUUAUCAAAAAAUUAUCCGAUAAUUCAUUACAGUAAAAGCAGAACAAAAAUCAAUAGGGUUGAGUUUGAUGGAUUUAUCUUGUCAUCCAAAAGUCCCAAUAACUGUUGUAUUCUUUCAAGCGGUACAAUUACAACAGUGAAUGAUAUUUAUAUAAAAAAUAAUAUUCUAUACUUUACUGUAAGACAACAUCUAUCUAUUAAAUCUUUCUUUGAUUCUCCAUGCGAUUCAACGGUGGUAGGAAUUUAUGAGUUAUCUGAAAGUGAAGCAGAUUUAUCACAUGCUACUGUUACAGCUGAUCAAAUUUUACGUAAAUGUUUAAAAGUAGAUAAUAUUAUGUCUUCUGAUGAUAAUUCAAGUAUAGUUAUUAGCUUAUUGCAUUAAAUCCAUAAAGAUAGCAAAUAAUGUUAAUGUUUGAUUACAUUAACGUUUCUUAUUUGUACUACUCAUGUCCUUUGUGUGAUUUAUUAUAUGAUGAAAUAUAUAUAUAUAUACAUACAUACAUGACUGUACUGAAGAUAUUACAUACUGGGCACUAGAAUGAGUUUUCCCUACGCCGUUGUACUAUUUCCUCAAGAAGGGACAUACUCCGAAAUUCUGACCUCAUGGCUAACAGAAGAUAAUAAUAAGUGUAGAUGGCCACGAACCAGGAAUGUUACCUUCUUUUUGAAAAAAAACAGUCCACCACAUGAGGACUGGUUACUUUUUGAUGUAAAAGUGCAAUGUUACUGUGAAACUUUAGAAAAAGCACGAAAAAAAGCAGAAGAUGCGAAUUACGUAACUUCUAAUGACGAAAGUACAGGGCGUGGGAAAAGAAUCAUACAUGAAAAACAAUUUGACGAUAUGUAUGAUACUUGCGACGGUAAUACGGAUAACGAUAGCGAUGUACCUCCGCAGUUACAUAAGACUGAUAAUAAGAAGAGGGUAACAAAAGAUAAAUAUUCGGAUACAUCAGUAAAAAAAUAUAAGUGCGUCAAACAAUUGUCACAAAUUGCCGACAAAAGUUCUACGCCAAACCGUUCACGUCUAUGUAGCAAAUCACAAACACAACAGAUUAAUUUAGUACGUGAGGAACUUUCUGAUAAUAAUAAUGAAUUGGUAGUACCUAAAUCUCAGGAAAUUAAUAUACAAGGUAAGAGUUCAACGUUAUUUUAUUAUUGAUUUUAUUAAUGAUAUUUUUGGUACUAGAUAAGCAAAACUGCCGAACUAUAUUACAUAAUAUUUGCUGUAAAUUUUUUCUCCAGCUUGCUAGAAAUACAAGAGAUGUUAUCCAGCAAGACACAGAUUGGCGACACAGUGUAAAACAGAAUUAUUUCAUCCUUGUUUAAUAAUGGCAAACAACAAAGAUAAAACGAUUCACUGUGUUAAGCCCGCUGCAGACGAUG